UAAAAUGUAUUUGCACCCACAAUUCUUCAAGAUAUUUAAGAAAAACUAUGGUUGCUUUUGUUUGUAUGUUGCCUGGUCAUUUCUGAUUUUUAUCACAUGAAUGGACAUCUUGCACAUCCUUCUUCCAGUUUGGAUACUGGAACUCCUUUCUGUUUCUAAGGGGCUUAAGACCUGACUGAAGAUAUACAACAGAACUAGGCUGGCGAUGUCAGUGGUAAGUGAAUGAUUAAGACAAUUAAUUCCCUAAAAGUUCAGAGUAGGAACUAGGGUUGCCAGAUAUAAUAUAGGACAUCCAGUUAGACCUGAAUUUCAGAUAUGCAAGGAAUAAAUUUUUAGUAAAAGUAUACUCCAAAUAUUGCAUAGGAUACAGUUGUUUUGGAAAAUAUUCCUUGUUUACCUGAAAUUCAAAUUUAACUGGACACCUAUAUUUUUCCAAAAUUUGUCCCUAGGAGGCAAGGGGCCAUUAGUAGGGAAAGAAGACUCUAGAAGCAAGUAAAAAUUAAGUCAGGCUCUUAAGGCAGGACUGAGAGGUUCAAAAAUUACCGCAGAAUGUGUAUGCAGAUAAGUCGUGGGAGAAAUGAUCAGAGAAAUAUGUCAAGUUCAAAACCCUGGAGGAUUCUGAAUGCCAAUCAGAAAAGAAGAAUGGACUCUAUUUUGCUGCCAAAGAUGAAUAAGAAAGACUCUCAGUAAGUCUCUCAUUUUUGACCUCUUUAAAGGUAACGGUGGCAAUAAGAAUCAAUUUUAUGGUAUAGGUCUUCCAUAGCAAAGCCCUUUUCAGAUUUUAUAGGGCUUUUUGCUUCAAUAAGAUCCCAUUUUCCUUUUUAUGUUUUUCCUUAGGUUUUACAGUCUUCCUUUGUUCAGGUAUAAGAAAUGAUGAUGGCUGUACCUCCAGGAAUGUGAAACAAAUAAGACUUUCUAUUUCUGCCAAAUAAAUGAAAAUCCAGAUCGUGCAGAAAUUGACAAAUGCCAAACAAUAGACUUUUAGCUAUGUUUACUUGAAGCAACUUGCUGUACUUCAGUGCACAAUUACAAAUCAUCUUUCGA
rnacentral:lncRNA from 1 species